rnacentral:rRNA from 1 species
ACGGCUCAGUAACACGUAGCUAACCUGCCCUUAAGUCAAGGAUAACCUCGGGAAACUGAGGAUAACACUUGAUAGAAAAUUUUUUCUGGAAUGAAUUAUUUUUCAAACUCGUGCUUAAGGAUGGGGCUGCGGCUGAUUAGCUAGUUGUUGGUGUAAUGGACUAACAAGGCAAUGAUCAGUAAGGGCUCUUAGCGGAGAGGCCCUGAGAAGGAAUCUGAGACACUAUUCCUAGCUCUACGGGGUGCAGCAGUUAAGGAACUUUUUCAAUGCCCGCAAGGGUGAACGAGUAAGCCAGAGUGUUUUCUUUACGAAAACUUUUAUCUGCUGUAAAAAGGCAGAUGAAUAAGGACUGGGCAAGACCGGUGCCAGCCGCCGCGGUAAUCCCGGCGGUCCAAGUCGCAUCCACAAUUAUUGGGUCUAAAACAUCCGUAGCUUGCUUUUUAAGUCUCUUGUGAAAUCUCAAAUCUCAAGUCUGAGGCGUGCAAGAGAUACUAUUAAGCUAGAGACCGGAAGACGCAAAGAGUACGAAGGAGGUAGCGGUAAAAUGUGUUAAUCUUUUUCGGACUAACAAUGGCGAAGGCACUUUGCGAGUACGGAUCUGACAGUGAGGGAUGAAAGCUAGGGGCGCAAAAGGGAUUAGAUACCCCUGUAGUCCUAGCAGUAAACACUGCUCACUAAACAUCAGUACCUCCUCGAGAGGUAUUGGUGCUGUAGGGAAGCCGAAGAGUGAGCUACCUGGGAAGUAUAGUCGCAAGACCGAAACUUAAAGGAAUUGGCGGGGGAG